UUAAAUGAGUAUGAAAUUUUAACAUAAAAAUCUAUUAUUUGAUAUUUGGUUUUAUAUAAAUUCUAAGAAAAUUCAGUACUUAAAUCAAUUCAACAUGUCAGUCAAACAUAACUUAAAUGAAGUGAUUAAACAUUUUAUCUAUAUAGAAGCUAAUAAAACAGUUAGCUAGUAUACACUUUAAAUUCUACAAUAUUCCUACUUCUUUCUUUUAAU
rnacentral:lncRNA from 1 species